AAUAUUUUUCAGGAUCAUGACUUCAGAUACACAAGAGCUGAACCCGCUGAAGCUAAUUGAGGUCCCUUUCUUCUACCUACCUCUACAGAAGUAAUAUGAGUCACAGCUGCUUAAAGAAGAGUGAGGAAACAACAGAGCAAGUUGCAUGCUGUACUACACCAAUGUACAGUGUUGAAGAUUCUUCCAUCAGGGCUAACUACAGGUUGACUCAGAAUGCCUGGGACAAGUACUGGAGAGCACAGAUGCACAGCAGCUCAGCAUUACCAAACUAGAAAAUAUGUACCACAUUUCUUUAUUUUUUCCCAAAUAAUAUUUCUAUGACAUCAGAGUAGCUGCGUUUUCACAUUGUCCUGCCUAUUCUUGCUCAGACUCCGACCUGAAGCAUCCCUAGACUGCCUUUCUUUGGCUGCGCUGCUCCCAAGGUCAGAGUGCAGCACACCAAGGAUCAUUCUCAGGCAGCUGCUUUGGAUGUCACCUGUGCUGAGCUGAGGAUGCCACAAUUCCAGUCAUGCUGUUAGCUUUUUAGGCCAGAGGCUUUCCACAAUUAAUGUCAGCUGGUGGCUGGGUGGCAUCCAGCGCAGGGUGUGUCUCACAUCCACCAUCUGCCCGUGGUGUGCUGACUGUGGCUGCCAAAUUCAGGGUCCCUCUGGUCUGUUCCGCUGGUGUGGGCACUGCCCCUGCCAGUGCUGCCGUUCCAAGGCAGGCAGGAGUUAUCUGGGACAGAGAGCUGUGUCUUCAGCUCCAUGCUCACACAUCUCUGUGCCAAACCUUCUACCAGCUUUAGUAGAUGUGGCUCUUACUUUACUCUGUCAUGAAAUGUUUUCACAUCCAAACUGUACAGGGGAAGAGGGACCAAUAAGUCUCAGAUGACAAGCUUGGAUGGGAGAUAAUGUGAUUCACUGUCAAUAAUGGAGACAGCUUCACCUGUUUUCCUGCAGCACUGCUGCAUCUGUAUUCUACUAUUUGUCCUUAGGAAUGUUUUACACAG